rnacentral:lncRNA from 1 species
AAAAACCAAAUAGGAAUAUGUAGUUUGUUGUAUUAUUUCUACACUCAACUCUCAAACUUGGUGCUGAACUCCAAAGACUGACAGAAGCAUUGGUGCCUGAGAGAUCCAAGUAGCUUAUCAAAUGUAUGACUAUUCUUUCAACACUGAUGUUAUAAGUUUAAAUCCUUCAACUUUAAUCCUUAUUGACUAGGAUUUGUCAGUCUUCCUGCAAAGAUCAGUGGUUAC